NNNNNNGGCCGUAUCAGCCUGAAGGCGCCCGAUCUCGUCUGAUCUCGGAAGCUAAGCAGGGUCGGGCCUGGUUAGGAUCUUGGAUGGGAGACCACCUGGGAAUCCCGGGUGCUCGAGGCU
rnacentral:rRNA from 1 species